UACAACAUUCAUUUUCAUCAAACAUCUCUUCCUUUCGGCAAAAGUUGAAACCGAAAGACAAACAUCGAUUUUGUAUCUCUUUUUUUCUCCUUGACAAACAAUUGCAAUUUUCUGCAUCAUCUAAUUUGGCCAUGGAAUCGGAACUAACUAUAUUCCAUUCCAGUUCAAAAAACAAUAUAUUCCUUGCUUUUUCUUCGCCUGGUAUCGGUUUCAGGCAAUGGCAAACUUACAGGUAAAAAGAAGAUGAAGCUAGUCGCAUUUUAGGAGCUUGACAGCCAAGCCAUAUUGUGUGAGGAAAAAAAGAUUAGAAAAUAUUUUUCACAUAUUUUCAAUCAAUUAAUUUUAUCAAUGCAAUCUUCUAGAAAUGCGAUUGUGUGUAAUGUUAAAAAAUGACACAACAAGUGUUUAACUCGAUUCUGUGCAUUUUCAAUAUUCGAGUUUUCCGAAUAGUGGAGGAAUUUUCAGUGAAAAAGUCUGAAAAAAAAAUUCACAGAAGGAGAAAAAUAAAACAUGGCGAUGGUUGUUUCAUUUCGAUUUCAUUCCGUUAUUUGGAUCUGGACUUGAUAGGAAAAACAGAGUAUGGUGAAUUAAAUCAAAUGAAAAUAGAACGUGUAACCAAGAACGAAAUAAGAAAAGUUGUACGUAGAAAAUUUACUUGGGUAUGAGAAAUAUGCAAAAUUAACGUCAUCUCUAAACAUCAAUUAAAAAUGGAUGAUUUCUAUGAUAUUACAGCUUGACGCAACAUCAUUUAAAAUGCAAGAAUGUCAGUUAUUAUUUUUAUACUUUGUAGGUAGGUAACCAUAUUGAAAAUUUUAAAUUUGAAAUGAAAGUUACAACAGAAGUGAACUAUUGGAAAGGGAGAAGAAAAGUGUGUUACUUUUACUUAUGCGCGCUUUUAUUAUCACACUCGAACUCGAUAGUGAAUAAAACUCACCCUUGUCGUUGAUUUGACAUUGCAUUUGCUUUAGCACAACUAAGGAAAUGGCUUUUUAUUCGCAUUCGGGGCUUUGAUGUGUGUAAAGCUUUAAA